rnacentral:rRNA from 1 species
UACGUAGGGGGCAAGUGUUGUCCGGAAUUAUUGGGCGUAAAGAGCGUGUAGGCGGCCAGAUAAGUCCGCUGUGAAAUCUCGAGGCUCAACUUCGAGCUGUCGGUGGAAACUGUCUGGCUAGAGUCCGGAAGAGGAGAAUGGAAUUCCUGGUGUAGCGGUGAAAUGCGCAGAUAUCAGGAAGAACACCCGUGGCGAAGGCGGUUCUCUGGGACGGUACUGACGCUGAGACGCGAAAGCGUGGGGAGCGAACAGG